rnacentral:rRNA from 1 species
AUUGAACGCUGGCGGCAUGCUUUACACGUGCAAGUCGAACGGCAGCGCGGGCUUCGGCCUGGCGGCGAGUGGCGAACGGGUGAGUAAUACAUCGGAACGUGCCCAGCAGUGGGGGAUAGCUCGGCGAAAGCCGGAUUAAUACCGCAUACGACCUGAGGGUGAAAGCGGGGGAUCUUCGGACCUCGCGCUAUUGGAGCGGCCGAUGGCAGAUUAGCUAGUUGGUGGGGUAAAGGCCUACCAAGGCGACGAUCUGUAGCUGGUCUGAGAGGACGACCAGCCACACUGGGACUGAGACACGGCCCAGACUCCUACGGGAGGCAGCAGUGGGGAAUUUUGGACAAUGGGCGAAAGCCUGAUCCAGCAAUGCCGCGUGUGUGAUGAAGGCCUUCGGGUUGUAAAGCACUUUUGGCGGGAACGAAAAGGACUGUGCCAAUACCACGGUUCGAUGACGGUACCCGCAGAAUAAGCACCGGCUAACUACGUG